rnacentral:lncRNA from 1 species
CAUUUUCUUGUGAUGAGCAAAAUAUUAAUGAAGAAAUGUGUUUUAAAUGUAAAUCUCCAUUUCUUUGGGUCGAAUAUAAAUUAUUUAAAAAUCCAAAUCAAAAUAUUCAAUUUGUACAGAAUUUGAUAGCGCCGCCAAAAACUUGCUACAACUUUAAGGUUGCAAACCCAAGUGCAGGUUGUCGCAAGUAGUAAAUCUUGGAAGUCCGAGGUCGAACCACAGGGAAUUGGAAGGAAAUAAACUAUUCUAUGAGUAGUGAACGAUUGGUGGAAAUACGAUUGAGACGAAUACUAGAGCGUCGGGGAUUCACUUCGGAUAAAUGAGUAGAAAUUGCACUUGAUCUUUAAUUUAACUCAUAUGAAAAUCAACUAAGGAGUGAUCUCAUAUGGAAGAUAAAACAUUAAUCACAAAUAUACUAAAAGAUAGAUCUUGAUAAUUGUUUGAGAGAAUAUGUCAAAAUAAGUUGUUGGUAUGUAGAGAUUAUCUAAGUAUUUAUUGUGCCAAAAUUGUCAACAAUAAAUCAAAGUCUUUAACAAACCAAAACCAUUUGUAGAACAUAUACUUCAACCAAGUAAGAAGAUGAACAUUGAAGAACAAAAUGAAAGAUCAAAGAUAAUACUAAACAUUCAUCAAAGUUUCACCCUUAGCUCUAGCUAAAUGUUUAGAAAUACAUAGUGAAAUGUUACAAAGAAAAUGAAGGAAACUAUAAUAUGAUAGAGAGGAUUUGAUUCUUCAAAAUCGUGGCCAAGGUGCCCUUUUAUAGGCAAAGAAAUAUGCAAAAUUCAAGUAGGCAAUGCAACUUGUUUCUGUCCAGUUUCAAGACAGCUGGAACAUGCAACUUGAUGCCAAUUUUCAGAUACAUUGUGCAGCGAGUUUGGACUUAUGAUCAACAGAUAAAUUAUUACCACUUGAGUUAGCUUUCCAUUGGUUCAAAUAUCAGGUUCAUUGGAUCUAUAUAACUCCAGAUAUGACAAAAACAAUAAGUGCUGCAUCACAGGUAAAGCUGUAUUCGACAGGUAACAAGCUGGACUUUGCACGGUAAUUUUGGCUAUCUUAUGAUACGAAUUUGACUUCUUCCAAAACAUGAAAGUUGUAGAAACGUGCCUUAUCUUUCCAACCCAACUCGAAUCACCUCGAUCCAAUGUCUGCAGCUCAAGUUAUGAUUAUUUUAUCGACAGCUACUUCUUGCUUGAGGCAGUCACUAUUUUUUACUUUUCAACAUUAUUUUCCUCCAUUUGCUCCACUUGUUCUAAAUUGAAAAUACAUGUGAAAUAUAUCAAAUAGAUACUCUUUCAAAUGUAUAAUACUCAUGCCGACAUGUAUGUAAAUACGUAUUUCAAUUAAUUACAUUUUUAACCAUAUAUUUAUGGAAAUUGAAUUUACGGCAUGAGAAUUGGAAUUAGAGACUAACAUUAGCGCUUUUAAACAAAGUGAAUGUAAAAUGCCUUGUAAAUUAUAUAUCUUUAAAGCACUUUUAAACGCUAAUCACCCCUCUAAUUAAAAAUUUCUGCGUCCGCCCCCUGGUUUUAUUUUUCUUGCAUUCCUUCUUAUUAGAUUAUUGGUUAACUUGCAGGGGCCCCCUCAAGAGUUCUCUAUUGCACCAUGGGUAAGCUCUUUCCAUUUUAUAUUGUGAUGUCAUUUGACAUUACAGUAUAGAAAUUCGUACUUUAAAUGCAGAAUUUCUAAAAUCUUGCGUGGUAAAUUACUUGCUUUUUGUAUACUUAAAAUCAGCAAUUUAAUGUACAGAGUAUCUAAAACUAACCACAGUAGAAAGAGUUUUAUUGUACGGAUCCUUUCACAUUUUCUUUUUCUUUAUCUCAAUUUAGGUUACACUAUUACAAUCCUCCUAUGGCAAAAUGUUUAUAAAAAAAUUGUCUUGCAAUAUUUGAAAAAACUUAUGCACAUUGCAGUCCAUUGUAUUUUCACAUAACACAUUUGUUAUUUCAUAGGUUGUAUUAAUAAAGCCGAUUACGAUGUUUUUUUAUAAAUUAAUACAAUAAUUAUCUUUAAUUUCAUAUUGUAGAAUUUGAAUGGAAAAUAACAAAAACAAGGUAUAUUAACAUACACUUGUUAAUUUUGAUGUGUAUCUUUAUUAUAAAUUGUGAAAUCUUUAUGACUGCACACGCACAUGCAAACACACUUAUAUGAAUAUUAUUCAAAUCUAAAAUCAGAUGAGAUAUUUUAUUAUUAAGUAAUAUUUAUUUCUCAGACAUGUUUGGGUAAGUUAAAAAAAAGUUUGCUUAUUUUGAAAGUAACUUGUAGCUUACUUUCAAAUAACGUACUUCAUUUCGAUUUUGAUCAAUAAAAGGUUAUUUACUUUAAAUUUAUUUAUUUAGUUAUAAGUAAACUUUUCAAGUUCAGCCAAACAUGCUCUUAGAGCUAGUUAUAUUUUUCUUGCAUUCCUUCUUAUUAGAUUAAUGGUUAACUUGCAGGGUACUUCAUACGAGUUUCCAAAUACAUCAGGUUUGAUGGUAAGCUCUUUCCAUUUUAUACUGUGAUGUCAUUUGACAUUACAAUAUAGAAAUUUGUAUCUUAAAUGCAAUUUUUUUAAAAUCUUGUGUGGAAAAUUACUUGCUUUUUGAGUUUUUGUAUACUUCAAAUCCGCAAUUUAAUUUAACGUACGAAGGGUAGGGUCUAAAACUCAACCACAGUAGAAAGAGUUUCAUUUGCACAAUCUCAGCGCCAACUUUUAUGAAAAUUUUAAAUUAAGAAUAUUAUUUUCGAACCAUUUCUAUUUUAGGUUCAUUUUCAUGCAUGAAUUUCUACCCCAUUUUUCUCAACUUCAGUCAAAUUUGAAAUAAGGAAGGUUGAACUAGCCCCUGUUUGGCCCUCAUUUUGUAGAGUUGAAAAUAUGUGGAACAGUAAUUUUUUGAAAAAUGAGUGAUUGAAAAAAAAAAAAAAAAAUUUCGAUUUACAUGAAAUAUUAUUUUAUGGAAGAUUGUGUGGUUGAAAAUAGUAAAGUAAAAAAUGUAAUGCAAUGUAAUAGAAAUUAAUAGGGGUCAAACGGGGGCUUAAAGGCUAUAGGUAAAUUCAACCCCCACUUGGAGAACCCUGGUACAUUUUUCUACAUAUAUUCGAGCUCUCGUUUGGCUCCCAUUAAAUUGAAUUUUAUUUUUUUCUCUUCUAUUUUCAAUCACAUCAUCUUCCAUAAAAUAAUAUUACAUGUAAAUAAAAAAAAUUCCUUAUUUUUUAACUACUCAUUUAAAAAAAAAAAAAAUACUAUUCCACUAAUUUUAAUUUGGAAAUAUGGGGGUCAAACGAGUGCUAAAUGUUGUUUGAGAUUCAAUUUGUAAAACUCAUUUUAAAUUACACAUUUUCUUAAUAAAUUAAUUUUACACGUAAAUUUAAUUUUUUAUAAUUUUUUCUAUAUAUUUUUAAAAAAAUCAUUAUUAUUACUACAUAUGAAUGGGGUUCAAACACACCCUAAAUGUAAAAUAGCUCAUCUUUUUCAUGUGCCAGGCAAAGAAAGAUUUCCUAGUUACGUAUAGACUUCAACAACCUUACAUUUUAAGUUUCUUUAAAUUUUUGUUCUGACAAUAUUUGGUUGUUACAUUGUAGGCGACCAUGAUGGGAGUCCGUACGUUGACUUGGAAUGUAACUGUAAGGAUUCUUUCACACUCUCUCCUCUUUUUCUCUAUUUAGGUUGAAUAAUGCCAGCGUACAGUCAAUUAUUCACUGGGCUUUUACAUGAAGAGCCCCACAUGCAUUAAAAAGAGUACGUGGGCUCACGUAUAUGUGUGGCCUGGCAACUCCUAGUAUUUGUAAGUCUAGUACGGUUAAUUUAGGUUAGAGAAAGGCAUCUUUGAAGGACUAAAUCCUUGAACUGCUAUAAUUUUUAUAAAGAAAUUGUCUUGCAAUAUUUGAAAAUUUUCUUUGUG